rnacentral:tRNA from 1 species
GGUUGUGGCUCAGUGGUAGAGCGCUUACCUAGCACAUGCAAGGCCCUGGGUUUGAUCCUCAGCACCA